rnacentral:rRNA from 1 species
CAGUCGCCGCGGUAAUACGUAGGUGGCAAGCGUUGUCCGGAAUUAUUGGGCGUAAAGCGCGCGCAGGUGGUUUAAUAAGUCCGAUGUGAAAGCCCACGGCUCAACCGUGGAGGGUCAUUGGAAACUGUUAAACUUGAGUGCAGGAGAGAAAAGUGGAAUUCCUAGUGUAGCGGUGAAAUGCGUAGAGAUUAGGAGGAACACCAGUGGCGAAGGCGGCUUUUUGGCCUGUAACUGACACUGAGGCGCGAAAGCGUGGGGAGCAAACAGGAUUAGAUACCCCGGUAGUCCCUGUCUCUUAUAC